rnacentral:rRNA from 1 species
CGUAACAAGGUCUCCGUAGGUGAACCUGCGGAGGGAUCAUUACACAAAUAUGAAGGCGGGCUGGAACCUCUCGGGGGUUACAGCCUUGCUGAAUUAUUCACCCUUGUCUUUUGCGUACUUCUUGUUUCCUUGGUGGGUUCGCCCACCACUAGGACAAACAUAAACCUUUUGUAAUUGCAAUCAGCGUCAGUAACAAAUUAAUAAUUACAACUUUCAACAACGGAUCUCUUGGUUCUGGCAUCGAUGAAGAACGCAGCGAAAUGCGAUAAGUAGUGUGAAUUGCAGAAUUCAGUGAAUCAUCGAAUCUUUGAACGCACAUUGCGCCCUUUGGUAUUCCAAAGGGCAUGCCUGUUCGAGCGUCAUUUGUACCCUCAAGCUUUGCUUGGUGUUGGGCGUCUUGUCUCUAGCUUUGCUGGAGACUCGCCUUAAAGUAAUUGGCAGCCGGCCUACUGGUUUCGGAGCGCAGCACAAGUCGCACUCUCUAUCAGCAAAGGUCUAGCAUCCAUUAAGCCUUUUUUUCAACUAUUGACCUCGGAUCAGGUAGGGAUACCCGCUGAACUUAAGCAUA